rnacentral:rRNA from 1 species
GGUUAAGUGACUAAGCGUACACGGUGGAUGCCUGGGCAGUCAGAGGCGAUGAAGGACGUACUAACUUGCGAUAAGCGCAGAUAAGGCAGUAAGAGCCGUUUGAGUCUGCGAUUUCCGAAUGGGGAAACCCAACUGCAUAAGCAGUUACUGUUAACUGAAUACAUAGGUUAACAGAGCAAACCGGGGGAACUGAAACAUCUAAGUACCCCGAGGAGAAGAAAUCAACCGAGAUUCCGGUAGUAGCGGCGAGCGAACCUGGAUUAGCCCUUAAGCACUCGGUGAAGUAGGUGAACAAGCUGGAAAGCUUGGCGAUACAGGGUGAUAGCCCCGUAACCGACGCUUCAUCGAGCGUGAAAUCGAGUAGGGCGGGACACGUGAUAUCCUGUCUGAAUAUGGGGGGACCAUCCUCCAAGGCUAAAUACUCCUGACUGACCGAUAGUGAACCAGUACCGUGAGGGAAAGGCGAAAAGAACCCCUGUGAGGGGAGUGAAAUAGAACCUGAAACCGUGUACGUACAAGCAGUAGGAGCACCUUCGUGGUGUGACUGCGUACCUUUUGUAUAAUGGGUCAGCGACUUAUAUUCAGUGGCAAGGUUAACCGUAUAGGGGAGCCGUAGCGAAAGCGAGUCUUAACUGGGCGCUCAGUCUCUGGAUAUAGACCCGAAACCGGGUGAUCUAGCCAUGGGCAGGUUGAAGGUUGAGUAACAUCAACUGGAGGACCGAACCGACUAAUGUUGAAAAAUUAGCGGAUGACUUGUGGCUAGGGGUGAAAGGCCAAUCAAACUCGGAGAUAGCUGGUUCUCCCCGAAAGCUAUUUAGGUAGCGCCUCGGACGAAUACUACUGGGGGUAGAGCACUGUUAAGGCUAGGGGGUCAUCCCGACUUACCAACCCUUUGCAAACUCCGAAUACCAGUAAGUACUAUCCGGGAGACACACGGCGGGUGCUAACGUCCGUCGUGGAGAGGGAAACAACCCAGACCGCCAGCUAAGGUCCCAAAGUAUUGCUAAGUGGGAAACGAUGUGGGAAGGCUCAGACAGCUAGGAUGUUGGCUUAGAAGCAGCCAUCAUUUAAAGAAAGCGUAAUAGCUCACUAGUCGAGUCGGCCUGCGCGGAAGAUGUAACGGGGCUAAGCAAUACACCGAAGCUGCGGCAAUAUNNNNNNNNNNNNNNNNNNNNNNNNNNNNNNNNNNNNNNNNNNNNNNNNNNNNNNNNNNNNNNNNNNNNNNNNNNNNNNNNNNNNNNNNNNNNNNNAUGUCUUUUAGAUAUUGGGUAGGGGAGCGUUCUGUAAGCCGUUGAAGGUGAAUCGUAAGGUUUGCUGGAGGUAUCAGAAGUGCGAAUGCUGACAUGAGUAACGACAAAGGGGGUGAAAAACCUCCUCGCCGGAAGACCAAGGGUUCCUGUCCAACGUUAAUCGGGGCAGGGUGAGUCGACCCCUAAGGUGAGGCCGAAAGGCGUAAUCGAUGGGAAACGGGUUAAUAUUCCCGUACUUCUGACUAUUGCGAUGGGGGGACGGAGAAGGCUAGGUGGGCCAGGCGACGGUUGUCCUGGUUCAAGUGCGUAGGCUUGAGAGUUAGGUAAAUCCGGCUCUCUCUAAGGCUGAGACACGACGUCGAGCUGCUACGGCAGUGAAGUCAUUGAUGCCAUGCUUCCAGGAAAAGCCUCUAAGCUUCAGAUAGUCAGGAAUCGUACCCCAAACCGACACAGGUGGUCGGGUAGAGAAUACCAAGGCGCUUGAGAGAACUCGGGUGAAGGAACUAGGCAAAAUGGUACCGUAACUUCGGGAGAAGGUACGCUCUUGAUGGUGAAGUCCCUCGCGGAUGGAGCUGACGAGAGUCGCAGAUACCAGGUGGCUGCAACUGUUUAUUAAAAACACAGCACUGUGCAAAAUCGCAAGAUGACGUAUACGGUGUGACGCCUGCCCGGUGCCGGAAGGUUAAUUGAUGGGGUUAGCGCAAGCGAAGCUCUUGAUCGAAGCCCCGGUAAACGGCGGCCGUAACUAUAACGGUCCUAAGGUAGCGAAAUUCCUUGUCGGGUAAGUUCCGACCUGCACGAAUGGCGUAAUGAUGGCCACGCUGUCUCCACCCGAGACUCAGUGAAAUUGAAAUCGCUGUGAAGAUGCAGUGUACCCGCGGCUAGACGGAAAGACCCCGUGAACCUUUACUACAGCUUGGCACUGAACAUUGAACCUACAUGUGUAGGAUAGGUGGGAGGCUAUGAAGACGUGACGCCAGUUGCGUUGGAGCCGUCCUUGAAAUACCACCCUUGUAUGUUUGAUGUUCUAACUUAGACCCGUUAUCCGGGUUGAGGACAGUGCCUGGUGGGUAGUUUGACUGGGGCGGUCUCCUCCCAAAGAGUAACGGAGGAGCACGAAGGUGGGCUAAUCACGGUUGGACAUCGUGAGGUUAGUGCAAUGGCAUAAGCCCGCUUAACUGCGAGAAUGACGGUUCGAGCAGGUGCGAAAGCAGGUCAUAGUGAUCCGGUGGUUCUGUAUGGAAGGGCCAUCGCUCAACGGAUAAAAGGUACUCCGGGGAUAACAGGCUGAUACCGCCCAAGAGUUCAUAUCGACGGCGGUGUUUGGCACCUCGAUGUCGGCUCAUCACAUCCUGGGGCUGAAGUCGGUCCCAAGGGUAUGGCUGUUCGCCAUUUAAAGUGGUACGCGAGCUGGGUUUAGAACGUCGUGAGACAGUUCGGUCCCUAUCUGCCGUGGGCGUUGGAAGAUUGAAGGGGGCUGCUCCUAGUACGAGAGGACCGGAGUGGACGAACCUCUGGUGUUCGGGUUGUGUCGCCAGACGCAUUGCCCGGUAGCUAAGUUCGGAAUUGAUAAGCGCUGAAAGCAUCUAAGCGCGAAGCGAGCCCUGAGAUGAGUCUUCCCUGAUACUUUAAGUAUCCUAAAGGGUUGUUCGAGACUAGAACGUUGAUAGGCAGGGUGUGUAAGCGUUGUGAGGCGUUGAGCUAACCUGUACUAAUUGCCCGUGAGGCUUAACCAU